rnacentral:ribozyme from 1 species
UUUGAAGAAGAGUUCAAAUCUCUUUCUUUCUUUUCUUUUCUUCUCUUUCUUUUCUUUCUUUUUUUCUUUC